CCAAAAUCCCCAAACCUUUCUGAACCAACCCAAAAUCCCUAAAAUCUUUAAAUCCCCAAAACCAUUUUGAAGCAAAAUCCCCAAAGCCCUUGAGCCAAAAUUCAACGACGGUGACGGACGACAACGGUGAUCGACGACGGCUAGCAGCGAGGGAGCAGCGAGUGACGACUACUUAGCUCUAACAGCAUUACACUCUGGUAAGGGCCUCCUGACAUAAAAGACCCUGAAAUUCUAUUUGUUUUUAAAGACUUAAUGGCUGCAAGUUGGGAUGAGCUUCCAGAUACACUCAUCAGUGAUGCCCAAGAAGCUGUGGCAAAUGUUUUUCGUGCAGCUGAGGCAGUUGAGGAGUUUAGUGGGAUGCUCGUGUCUUUGAGGAUGGCAAUUGAUGAUAGCACUGGAUUGGGUGGCGAGGAUGUAAAACCCUUGCCGGAGGAAUUUGUGAACACAUUGCGUACAGUCUAUCAAAGAUAUACUGCAUAUUUGGAUGCUUUUGGGCCAGACGAGACCUAUUUGCGUAAGAAAGUUGAGACUGAGCUUGGAACGAAAAUGAUACACUUAAAAAUGAGGUGCAGUGGUAUUGGUUCUGAGUGGGGAAAGAGUCAUUGAGGUUGAUUUAUUUCCUCACUUGUUGCAAUUGAAAUUGAGAGAUCUGAUCUUCUCUGAUUGGCUUCUCAGGUAGUUAUUUGAGCAAUCAUGAAUGCAUUAGCUGAAAAAGAAGGUAAGGUUGUUGCUGAAAAAUUGCAAGCUUCUCUAAAGGAAGAACUUGAGAAGGCUGAGCAGAGAAAAUCAGUGCCAACCAGAGGGUUCAAGACUAUUAUAAGCUUUCUGCUGAGUAUGAAGGGAAGCGUGACCCCCAGAAAUUGGAGUUGGGGAAUGUGCUGACAAGUAUUGAUGAUGGGGAUUCUAUUGUCGUUGGUAAAUCUUUCUUUCACAUGCUUAACUUGGCCAACUUGGCUGAGGAGGUUCAGAUAGCUUACAGACGAAGGAUUAAGUUGAAGAAAGGCGAUUUUGCUGAUGAGGCAUCUGCAACAACUGAAUCGGACAUUGAGGAGACCCUUAAAAGACUUGUGACACAAUUGAAAAAAUAACCUGAAGAAGUUUUUGACGCUUUGAAGAACCAGACUGUGGAUCUGGUUUUCACGGCACAUCCCACUCAAUCUGUCCGUAGAUCUUUACUUCAAAAACAUGCAAGGAUUCGGAAUUGUUUAACCCAGUUGUAUGCCAAAGACAAAACGCCUGACGAUAAGCAGGAGCUUGAUGAGGCUCUGCAGAGAGAUAUUUCCCGAGUAGCAGUUUGCUUGUGGUAUACAAGCGUGUGAAGAUUGCGAUUUACUUUUGUUUUUGUUACCCACGGAAAAAUCAUGAAGGAAACUUUUGUUUUUGAUUUACGUUAUUUUGAAUUGUAAACAAUAUUAUGUAUUUAAACAUUGUAUAUGUAUUAUGUAAUAUUAUGU